GCCGGCGCUGGAGCACGCGGCCCGGAUCACGGCGCCCCCGGUGCCGUACAGCGCGGGGUGGGCGUACGGGCCCGUCCCGGCGGCG
rnacentral:tRNA from 1 species